rnacentral:rRNA from 1 species
ACAACUUUCAACAACGGAUCUCUUGGCUCUCGCAUCGAUGAAGAACGCAGCGAAAUGCGAUAACUAAUGUGAAUUGCAUAAUUCAGUGAAUCAUCGAGUCUUUGAACGCACCUUGCGCCCUUUGGUACUCCGAAGGGCAUGCCUGUUUGAGUGUCAGUA